CUGGCUCAAAUUGAACGCUGUCUGCAGACCUAACACAUGCAAGUCGAGCGGUACAGCGAAGCUUGCGUCUCUUGAACGCGGCGGACGGGUGAGUAAUGCCAAGGAAUCGCCUGACAGUAGGGGAUCACGGUCGGCAACAGUGGCCAAUACCGCAUACGUCCUACGGGAGAAACCAGGGGACCUUCGGGCCUUGCGCUAUCAGAUGAGCCUAGGUCGGAUUAGCUAGUUGGUGAGGUAAUGGCUCCCCAAGGCGACGAUCCGUAACUGGUCUGAGAGGAUGAUCAGUCCCACUGGAACGGAGACACGGUCCAGACUCCUACGGGAGGCAGCAGUGGGGAAUAUUGGACAAUGGGCGAAAGCCUGAUCCAGCCAUGCCGCGUGUGUGAAGAAGGUCUUCGGAUUGUAAAGCUCUUUCGCAAGGGAAGAAACGAUUUAGACGAAUAAUCUAAGUUAAUGACGGUGCCUUGAUAAGCCCCCCCCAAGGUAACUCCGUGCCAGCAGCCGCGGUAA
rnacentral:rRNA from 1 species